rnacentral:rRNA from 1 species
GGGGUGCAACACGAGGACUUCCCAGGAGGUCACCCAUCCUAGUACUACUCUCGCCCAAGCACGCUUGACUGCGGAGUUCUGAUGGGAUCCGGUGCAUUAG